UACGUAGGGCGCGAGCGUUAAUCGGAAUUACUGGGCGUAAAGCGUGCGCAGGCGGUUUUGUAAGCCAGAUGUGAAAGCCCCGGGCUUAACCUGGGAAUGGCAUUUGGGACUGCAAGGCUUGAGUGCGGCAGAGGAGACUGGAAUUCCUGGUGUAGCAGUGAAAUGCGUAGAUAUCAGGAGGAAUACCGAUGGCGAAGGCAGGUCUCUGGGCUGACACUGACGCUCAUGCACGAAAGCGUGGGGAGAAAACAGG
rnacentral:rRNA from 1 species